rnacentral:snoRNA from 1 species
AUGCAUCUACUUGACAGACCAGGAGCACUUGACCAUUGCUUUUCUGGUUCCAUAAAGAUGCAAGAGUAAAAUGAUUCCUUGUGCUUUCUGCCUGUCAGUCUAUGGCAGUCCAGCUUGAAUGAAGGAAUAUAGCU